UACGGAGGAUCCAAGCGUUAUCCGGAUUUACUGGGCGUAAAGGGCGCGUAGGCGGCACCGCAAGUCGACUGUGAAAUCUCCGGGCUUAACUCGGAAAGGUCAGCCGAUACUGCGGGGCUAGAGUGCAGAAGGGGCAACUGGAAUUCUCGGUGUAGCGGAUGAAUGCGUAGAUAUCGAGAGGAACACCUGCGGCGAAGGCGGGUUGCUGGGCUGACACUGACGCUGAUGCGCGAAAGCUAGGGGAGCGAACGGG
rnacentral:rRNA from 1 species